GACGAACGCUGGCGGCAUGCCUAACACAUGCAAGUCGAACGAGAAGGCCGGGUUUUUUGGCGGACGGCGGGGUACGGAGUGGGGACCUGCACUUAGGUUCGCAAUAACUCACCGAAAGGGGUGCUCAUACCGGAUAAGCUCUUCGCGCCAAAGAUGUAUUGCUUUUGGAUGGGCGCGGGUUGGAUUAGCUGGUUGGUAGGGUAAUAGCCGACCAAGGCGAUGAUCCAUAGCUGGUCUGUGAGGAUGAUCUGCCACACUGGGACUGAGACACGGCCCAGACUCCUACGGAAGGGAGGAGAGGAGUAUAUAGGACAAGGGGCGAAAGCGUGAUCCAGCAAUGCCGGGUAAGUGAUGAAUGGCUUAGGGAUGUAAAGCUGUUUUACCCGGGAUGAUAGUGACAGUACCGGGUGAAGAAGCUCCGGCUAACUCCGUG
rnacentral:rRNA from 1 species